AUUGAACGCUGGCGGAAUGCUUUACACAUGCAAGUCGAGCGGCAGCGCGGUCUUCGGACUGGCGGCGAGCGGCGAACGGGUGAGUAAUACAUCGGAACAUGCGCAGUCGUGGGGGCUAACACUUCGAAGGAAGUGCUGAUACCGCAUACGGCCUGAGGGAGAAAGCGGGGGAUCGCAAGACCUCGCGCGAUUGGAGUGGCCGAUGUCAGAUUAGCUAGUUGGUGGGGUAAAGGCCUACCAAGGCAACGAUCUCUAGCUGGUUUGAGAGGAUGAUCAGCCACACUGGGACUGAGACACGGCCCAGACUCCUACGGGAGGCAGCAGUGGGGAAUUUUGGACAAUGGGGGCAACCCUGAUCCAGCCAUUCCGCGUGAGUGAAGAAGGCCUUCGGGUUGUAAAGCUCUUUCGGCAGGAACGAAACGGCGAGCUCUAACAUAGCUCGCUAAUGACGGUACCUGAAGAAGAAGCACCGGCUAACUACGUGCCAGCCGCCGCAGUAAAAC
rnacentral:rRNA from 1 species